GGGGUGACAAAAAUAUGAUGGGAUGCUUUCCUUUAUCCUUCCUUUUCCUCUUCUCCUCUCCCCCCUCUAAAAGACAAUACAGAUAAUCGAAAUUCUGUUUGAUUUUUUCAAUUUAGUUUUGUAGUGCUUCGAACAGAUUGUUCCAACAGUUGGUGUUAGAUUCCCAGCAAACAACAUGGCAGAUUUUGAACCUAGAAUGUAAACUAGUGCACUCACAGAUGAGAACUGCAAAAUAAGUCGAGGUUCAUCUGUUGGAAGGCUCGCCCUGGGAUCAUAUGCAAGAAUCAGUUAAAGUUCCCUAAAUGGUGUAUGGUAUCGGUCGUCAGUCGUGGUGGAGACCACAAAUUCUACAAACAAUAAUCCGUGCAAUUGACAAAGCACCCAGAAAAGAUUUCAGGAGUACAGUAUAGACGGGUAAAAUAUCUUCUCAACCCAUUUAAGGAAUUUUUCUGAGUGGUAAAAUUUCACUCUUCGAACCAGUUUGUUGCUGAGUUAAGGGUUUCUGCCGAAGUCUGCUUCUAUUGUAAAAUACAUCUUUUUCUUAUGAAUUGGCUAAAUUCAUUUUUCUUAGGUGAAAUUAUUAUGACAAGCCAUAGUAAUUCAGGUAAUGGAUUGUGCUGCGCUAGAAUUGAUCUGAGCGACUUUCUUAAAAUCAGAGAGACUAAGGUUUUCUUCGAUUUAGUAGUUUGAGUAUGCAAGAAAUUAUGUACUUGGUACUUGCUGAAAUUAGCACCGUUAUGGAUUUGGUUACCUAUUUUUUCCGAGUAUGUUGUAAUGAUUUCUCUCCCAUUAUUUUGAAA